rnacentral:rRNA from 1 species
CGGCCCAGACUCCUACGGGAGGCAGCAGUGGGGAAUAUUGCACAAUGGGGGAAACCCUGAUGCAGCGACGCCGCGUGGAGGAAGAAGGUCUUCGGAUUGUAAACUCCUGUUGUUGAGGAAGAUAAUGACGGUACUCAACAAGGAAGUGACGGCUAACUACGUGCCAGCAGCCGCGGUAAAACGUAGGUCACAAGCGUUGUCCGGAAUUACUGGGUGUAAAGGGAGCGCAGGCGGGAGAACAAGUUGGAAGUGAAAUCCAUGGGCUCAACCCAUGAACUGCUUUCAAAACUGUUUUUCUUGAGUAGUGCAGAGGUAGGCGGAAUUCCCGGUGUAGCGGUGGAAUGCGUAGAUAUCGGGAGGAACACCAGUGGCGAAGGCGGCCUACUGGGCACCAACUGACGCUGAGGCUCGAAAGUGUGGGUAGCAAACAGGAUUAGAUACCCUGGUAGUCCACACCGUAAACGAUGAUUACUAGGUGUUGGAGGAUUGACCCCUUCAGUGCCGCAGUUAACACAAUAAGUAAUCCACCUGGGGAGUACGACCGCAAGGUUGAAACUCAAAGGAAUUGACGGGGGCCCGCACAAGCAGUGGAGUAUGUGGUUUAAUUCGACGCAACGCGAAGAACCUUACCAAGUCUUGACAUCCCUUGACGAUGCUGGAAACAGUAUUUCUCUUCGGAGCAAGGAGACAGGUGGUGCAUGGUUGUCGUCAGCUCGUGUCGUGAGAUGUUGGGUUAAGUCCCGCAACGAGCGCAACCCUU